GAUGAAGAACGUAGCGAAAUGCGAUAAGUAAUGUGAAUUGCAGAAUUCAGUGAAUCAUCGAAUCUUUGAACGCACAUUGCGCCCCCUGGUAUUCCGGGGGGCAUGCCUGUUCGAGCGUCAUUUCACCACUCAAGCCUCGCUUGGUAUUGGGCAACGCGGUCCGCCGCGUGCCUCAAAUCGUCCGGCUGGGUCUUCUGUCCCCUAAGCGUUGUGGAAACUAUUCGCUAAAGGGUGUUCGGGAGGCUACGCCGUAAAACAACCCCAUUUCUAAGGUUGACCUCGGAUCAGGUAGGGAUACCCGCUGAACUUAAGAAUAUCAAUAAGCGGAGGA
rnacentral:misc_RNA from 1 species